GACGAACGCUGGCGGCGUGCUUAACACAUGCAAGUCGAGCGGUAAGGCCCUUUCGGGGGUACACGAGCGGCGAACGGGUGAGUAACACGUGGGUGACCUGCCCUCAGCUCUGGGAUAAGCCGUGGGAAAACCCGGGGUCCUAAUACCGGAUAUGACUCCAUGACGCAUGUUGUGGGGUGGAAAGCCUUGUGCGGCUGAGGAUGGGCCCGCGGCCUAUCAGCUUGUUGG
rnacentral:rRNA from 1 species